GAUGAACGCUGGCGGCGUGCCUAAUACAUGCCAGUCGAGCGAACAGACGAGGAGCUUGCUCCUCUGACGUUAGCGGCGGACGGGUGAGUAACACGUGGAUAACCUACCUAUAAGACUGGGAUAACUUCGGGAAACCGGAGCUAAUACCGGAUAAUAUAUUGAACCGCAUGGUUCAAUAGUGAAAGACGGUUUUGCUUUCACUUAUAGAUGGAUCCGCGCCGCAUUAGCUACUUGGUAAGGUAACGGCUUACCAAGGCAACGAUGCGUAGCCGACCUGAGAGGGUGAUCGGCCACACUGGAACUGAGACACGGUCCAGACUCCUACGGGAGGCAGCAGUAGGGAAUCUUCCGCAAUGGGCGAAAGCCUGACGGAGCAACGCCGCGUGAGUGAUGAAGGUCUUCGGAUCGUAAAACUCUGUUAUUAGGGAAGAACAAAUGUGUAAGUAACUAUGCACGUCUUGACGGUACCUAAUCAGAAAGCCACGGCUAACUACGUG
rnacentral:rRNA from 1 species